GGGAAGGGUCAGGAUAAUCCAACGUCUCUGCCUCCUUCCUUCUUCUAUCCUGCCAAUCCCUACACCAGGGAACACUUAACCCAUACCUGCAGGCAUCCCAGGUUCUAAGAGAGACUCCUAAGCAGGAGAUAUACAGGUAUUUUGUACCGCUGUGCAGUGGGGAAAAAACCAAGGACUUGAUUCCAGAAGACCUGGGUUUGAAUCUGGACUCUUACUGGAAAGUCAGAAGAUUUAGACCUGAAAGGAAAACUAGAGAAGCCUUCUUUUCCCCUCUCCUGAUGACGCAGUGGAUUUUCAGCUUGACAUCCCUUCAGUUGGCUUUUCCCCACUUCCUGUCUUCUGUCUUCAACUUUAAAAUUAGUCCUGGGCUAACCAACAGAGAGAGGCCUGGACGGCACCUCUUGGCUCUGGCCCUCGCUCUGUGA
rnacentral:lncRNA from 1 species